GAUGAACGCUGGCGGCGUGCCUAAUACAUGCAAGUCGAGCGAAGCGGGGACGGGUGAGUAACACGUGGAUAACCUCCUAUAAGACUGGGAUAAAUUCGGGAAACCGGAGCUAAUACGGAAACUUAUAGAUGGAUCUGCGGUGCAUUAGGUAGUUGGUAAGGUAACGGCUUACCAAGGCAACGAUGCAUAGCGGACCUGAGAGGAGGAUCAGCCACACUGGAACUGAGACACGGUCCAGACUCCUACGGGAGGCAGCAGUAGGGAAUCUUGCGCAAUGGGCGAAAGCCUGACGGAGCCACGCCGCGUGUGUGAUGAAGGCCUUCGGAUCGUAAAGCUCUGUUAGUAGGGAAGCGGUACCUAAUCAGAAAGCCACGGCUAACUACGUGCCAGCAGCCGCGGUAAUUC
rnacentral:rRNA from 1 species